rnacentral:misc_RNA from 1 species
GUUGAAGAACGUAGCGAAAUGCGAUAAGUAAUGCGAAUUGCAGAAUUCAGUGAAUCAUCGAAUCUUUGAACGCACAUUGCGCCCGCUAGUAUUCUGGCGGGCAUGCCUGUCUGAGCGUCAUUUCAACCCUCGCCCCCGGCUUUUGCUGGGAGCGGUGUUGGGGAUCGGCCGCCCGUCACUGGGAGGCCGGCCCCGAAAUAGAGUGGCGACCACGCCGUGUGCUCCUCUGCGUAGUAGUAAAUCACCUCGCAGGCGGACAGCGGUGCGGCCUGCCGUAAAACCCCCAACUCUUUCUGGUUGACCUCAGAUCAGGUAGGAAUACCCGCUGAACUUAAGCAUAUCAAUAAGCGGAGGA